AAUUAAGUCAGUGGUGAAAUCUUACCGCUUAACGGUGAAAUUGCCAUUGAUACUGAUUUUCUUGAGUACAGUUGAGGUAGGCGGAAUGUGUAAUGUAGCGGUGAAAUGCUUAGAUAUUACACAGAACACCGAUUGCGAAGGCAGCUUACUAAACUGUCACUGACGCUGAGGCACGAAAGCGUGGGGAGCGAACAGGAUUAGAUACCCUGGUAGUCCACGCUGUAAACGAUGAUCACUCGUUGUUGGCGAUACACUGUCAGCGACUGAGCGAAAGCAUUAAGUGAUCCACCUGGGGAGUACGACCGCAAGGUUGAAACUCAAAGGAAUUGACGGGGGCCCGCACAAGCGGAGGAACAUGUGGUUUAAUUCGAUGAUACGCGAGGAACCUUACCUGGGCUUAAAUGCAGGACGACGUUCGCCGAAAGGUGAAUUUCCUUCGGGACGGACUGCAAGGUGCUGCAUGGUUGUCGUCAGCUCGUGCCGUGAGGUGUCGGGUUAAGUCCCAUAACGAGCGCAACCCUUAUCGUUAGUUGCCAGCGGGUAAUGCCGGGGACUCUAACGAAACUGCCGGUGUAAACCGUGAGGAAGGUGGGGAUGACGUCAAAUCAGCACGGCCCUUAUGUCCAGGGCUACACACGUGUUACAAUGGCCGGUACAAAGGGCAGC
rnacentral:rRNA from 1 species